UACAUGUGGGGCAAGCGUUGUUCGGAAUUACUGGGCAUAAAGGGUGCGUAGGCGGCUCGUUAAGUCAGGGGUGAAAGUUUUCGGCCCAACCGGAAAAUUGCCUUUGAUACUGGCGAGCUGGAGUGCGUGAGGGGUGACCGGAACGAGUGGUGUAGCGGUGAAAUGCGUAGAUAUCACUCGGAAGGCCAACGGCGAAGGCAGGUCACUGGUGCGCAACUGACGCUGAGGCACGAAAGCGUGGGGAGCAAACAGG
rnacentral:rRNA from 1 species